rnacentral:lncRNA from 1 species
GCAUUUUCGGCUGUAGCAAACGUGGCUCAGUGGUGAAGAACAUGGACUUUGAGGCCAGAGUCCUGAUGACAUUUACCUUGGUGGCUUGGCAGGAGCUGAUGGUUGUGAGCCUACUGCAGAGUCCACACCUGGUCCUGGGGAGAAAGAAGCCAUUGAAGCCUCGCCAGCCUCGUGGUCACGGGCAAAAGACAAUGUUCGCAUGAGCUGCUGGGCAGAAGAAGAGAUUUGGCCACGUGGCCAGGAGGAUCACAAGUCCAUGGCCAGCCUGGGCACCUCAUUGAGAGGAGACGCUGUUUGAAGAAAAGCUCUUCCAGGGCCCCUGGCUGUCUAUGGGAAGGAUCGCUGCGGAAGGCCGCGCAGGAAGCGUCGGCAGAUUCUAAGGACGGCAGAUAUUGCUGAACUGAGCUUUUAAGAGGCAGAGAGUCAGGGAGGGCCUUGUCUUUCCUGACUCUGCCCCAUAACUUGACCCUGGUAGGUGUUUACUAGUGUAUUAAACUGUAAUAAACUGUGACUUGGGCCCAG